ensembl:rRNA 5S_rRNA 5S ribosomal RNA
CCCAGCACCAUAGCAGCCGGAUUGCACUCGAGCCCGGAAGAUAAUCAGGGUAGGGUCUGGCUGGAGUUUGAAUGGGGGACUGCCUGGGAAGACCAGGGGCUGGGG